CCUACGGGCGGCAGCAGUGGGGAAUAUUGGGCAAUGGGCGCAAGCCUGACCCAGCAACGCCGCGUGAAGGAAGAAGGCUUUCGGGUUGUAAACUUCUUUUCUCAGGGACGAAGCAAGUGACGGUACCCGAGGAAUAAGCCACGGCUAACUACGUGCCAGCAGCCGCGGUAAUACGUAGGUGGCAAGUGUUAUCCGGAUUUACUGGGUGUAAAGGGCGAGUAGGCGGGAAAGCAAGUCAGAUGUGAAAGCCAUGGGCUCAACCUGUGGCCUGCAUUUGAAACUGUUUUUCUUGAGUACUGGAGAGGCAGACGGAAUUCCUAGUGUAGCGGUGAAAUGCGUAGAUAUUAGGAGGAACACCAGUGGCGAAGGCGAUCUGCUGGACAGCAACUGACGCUGAGGCGCGAAAGCGUGGGGAGCAAACAGGAUUAGAUACCCGAGUAGUC
rnacentral:rRNA from 1 species